GUAGCUCAAUUGGUAGAGCGGGUGGCUGUUAACCACUAGGUUGGGGGUUCAAGUCCCUCC
rnacentral:tRNA from 1 species